rnacentral:rRNA from 1 species
CUGGCGGCAGGCUUAACACAUGCAAGUCGAACGGUAGCAGGAAGAAAGCUUGCUUUCUUUGCUGACGAGUGGCGGACGGGUGAGUAAUGCUUGGGAAUCUGGCUUAUGGAGGGGGAUAACUGUGGGAAACUGCAGCUAAUACCGCGUAAUCUCUGAGGAGUAAAGGGUGGGACCUCUUGGCCACCUGCCAUAAGAUGAGCCCAAGUGGGAUUAGGUAGUUGGUGGGGUAAAGGCCUACCAAGCCUGCGAUCUCUAGCUGGUCUGAGAGGAUGACCAGCCACACUGGAACUGAGACACGGUCCAGACUCCUACGGGAGGCAGCAGUGGGGAAUAUUGCGCANUGGGGGGAACCCUGACGCAGCCAUGCCGCGUGAAUGAAGAAGGCCUUCGGGUUGUAAAGUUCUUUCGGUAAUGAGGAAGGGAUGUUGUUAAAUAGAUGGCAUCAUUGACGUUAAUUACAGAAGAAGCACCGGCUAACUCCGUGCCAGCAGCCGCGGUAAUACGGAGGGUGCGAGCGUUAAUCGGAAUAACUGGGCGUAAAGGGCACGCAGGCGGACUUUUAAGUGAGAUGUGAAAUCCCCGAGCUUAACUUGGGAAUUGCAUUUCAGACUGGGAGUCUAGAGUACUUUAGGGAGGGGUAGAAUUCCACGUGUAGCGGUGAAAUGC